rnacentral:misc_RNA from 1 species
GAUGAAGAACGUAGCGAAAUGCGAUAAGUAAUGUGAAUUGCAGAAUUCAGUGAAUCAUCGAAUCUUUGAACGCAUCUUGCGCUCCUUGGUAUUCCUUGGAGCAUGCCUGUUUGAGUAUCAUGAGCAAAUCUCAAAGUCAAUUCCUUUUGUUGAUUCAAUUGGUUUUGCUUUGGACUUGGAGGCCUUGCAGAUUUCACAGUCUGCUCCUCUUAAAUGCAUUAGCUGGAUCUCAGUAAUUAUGCUUGGUUCCACUCGGCGUGAUAAGUAUCACUCGCUGAGGACACUGUUUAAAAGGUGGCCAGGAAAAUACUGAUUGAACCGCUUCUAACGGUCUAUUAAGUUAGACAAUUACCCUUAAGUUUGAUCUCAAAUCAGGUAGGACUACCCGCUGAACUUAAGCAUAUCAAUAAGCGGAGGA